rnacentral:rRNA from 1 species
CUAAAGGAGGCCUCUGAAAAUGCUUCCGCUUGAAGAUGAGCUUGCGUCUGAUUAGCUAGUUGGUGAGGGUAAAGGCCCACCAAGGCGACGAUCAGUAGCCGGUCUGAGAGGAUGAACGGCCACAUUGGGACUGAGACACGGCCCAGACUCCUGCGGGAGGCAGCAGUGGGGAAUCUUCCGCAAUGGGCGAAAGCCUGACGGAGCAACGCCGCGUGAACGAUGAAGGUCUUAGGAUCGUAAAGUUCUGUUGUUAGGGACGAAGGGUAAGGAUCAUAAUAAGGUUUUUAUUUGACGGUACCUAACGAGGAAGCCACGGCUAACUACGUGCCAGCAGCCGCGGUAAUACGUAGGCGGCAAGCGUUGUCCGGAAUUAUUGGGCGUAAAGGGAGCGCAGGCGGGAAACUAAGCGGAUCUUAAAAGUGCGGGGCUCAACCCCGUGAUGGGGUCCGAACUGGUUUUCUUGAGUGCAGGAGAGGAAAGCGGAAUUCCCAGUGUAGCGGUGAAAUGCGUAGAUAUUGGGAAGAACACCAGUGGCGAAGGCGGCUUUCUGGACUGUAACUGACGCUGAGGCUCGAAAGCUAGGGUAGCGAACGGGAUUAGAUACCCCGGUAGUCCUAGCCGUAA